UCUUUUAAAGGAUAGUAAUCAUCCAUUGGUCUUAGGCUCCAAUACCCCUGGUGCAAAUCCAUGUAAAAGCA
rnacentral:tRNA from 1 species